rnacentral:rRNA from 1 species
AUUGAACGCUGGCGGCAUGCUUUACACAUGCAAGUCGAGCGGCAGCGCGGGGGCAACCCUGGCGGCGAGCGGCGAACGGGUGAGUAAUGCAUCGGAACGUACCUUGGAGUGGGGGAUAACGCCGCGAAAGCGGCGCUAAUACCGCAUAUGCUCUGAGGAGGAAAGUGGGGGACCCGCAAGGGCCUCAUGCUCUGGGAGCGGCCGAUGUCCGAUUAGCUAAUUGGUGAGGUAAAGGCUUACCAAGGCGACGAUCGGUAGCUGGUCUGAGAGGAUGAUCAGCCACACUGGGACUGAGACACGGCCCAGACUCCUACGGGAGGCAGCAGUGGGGAAUUUUGGACAAAUGGGGGCAACCCUGAUCCAGCCAUGCCGCGUGAGUGAAGAAGGCCU